UACGUAGGGUGCGAGCGUUAAUCGGAAUUACUGGGCGUAAAGCGCGCGUAGGCGGCUGAUUAAGUCGGGUGUGAAAGCCCCGGGCUCAACCUGGGAACUGCAUUCGAUACUGAUCGGCUAGAGUAUGAGAGAGGGAGGUAGAAUUCCACGUGUAGCGGUGAAAUGCGUAGAUAUGUGGAGGAAUACCGGUGGCGAAGGCGGCCUCCUGGUUCAAUACUGACGCUGAGGUGCGAAAGCGUGGGGAGCAAACAGG
rnacentral:rRNA from 1 species